rnacentral:rRNA from 1 species
CACGUAGGGGGCAAGCGUUGUCCGGAUUUAUUGGGCGUAAAGAGCUCGUAGGCGGCUCAGUAAGUCGGGUGUGAAACCUCCAGGCUCAACCUGGAGACGCCACCUGAUACUGCUGUGGCUAGAGUCCGGUAGGGGAGCGUGGAAUUCCUGGUGUAGCGGUGAAAUGCGCAGAUAUCAGGAGGAACACCAGCGUCGAAGGCGGCGCUCUGGGCCGGAACUGACGCUGAGGAGCGAAAGCGUGGGUAGCAAACAGG